CCUGAGCCAAAGGCAGAUGCUCAAUGGACUGAGCCACCCGGGGGGCCCCUAUAUAUUUGUUUACUUUAAGAAGAGCCUCAGUAGAGAAAAGCCAGCUGCAGGGCGGUGACACUCAGGUAACCUAAGGAGAGGCUGACUGAAGCCUCCAGCCAACAGCCGGCAAGGAAGGGAGACCAGCCAACAACGACUUAUCUCUACACUCAACGUGGAGCUCGAACUCAUGGCCUCGAGAUCAAGAGUUGCAAGCCCUUCUGACUGAGCCAGUCAGGCACCUCCAGAACAGUUUUGAAGAUACAGUUGAAAGAGAUCCCGAGAGAUGUGGCAGCUAGACAGUGAAAAUAGAUGAAGUCACCCAGGUUUUUGUUAGAGGCCAAGAUGGGGAGAGAGUAUUCUGAGGACAGAUUAAGAAUGUAUUCGCCAUGGGGCACCUGGGUGACUCAGUCGGUUAAGCGUCUGCCUUUGG